GACGAACGCCGGCGGCGGGCCUAAUACAUGUAAGUAGGACGCUGAAGGAGGAGCUUGCUUCACUGGCUGACUUGCGAACGGGUGAGUAACGCGUAGGUAACCGGCCUGGUAGUGGGGGAUAACGAUUGGAAACGAUAGCUAAUACCGCAUAAUAGCAGUUGUUGCAUGAUAACUGUUUGAAAGGUGCAAUUGCACCGCUACCAGAUGGACCUGCGUUGUAUUAGCUAGUUGGUGGGGUAACGCCUCACCAAGGCCAGGUUACAUAGCCGACCUGAGAGGGUGAGCGGCCACACUGGGAAUGAGACACUGCCCAGACUCCUACGGGAGGCAGCAGUAGGGAAUCUUCUGCAAUGGACGGAAGUCUGACCGCGUAACGCCGCGUGAGUGAAGAAGGUUUUCGGAUCGUAAAGCUCUGUUGUAAGAGAAGAACGAGUGUGAGAGUGGAAAGUUCACACUGUGACGGUAUCUUACCAGAAAGGGACGGCUAACUACGUG
rnacentral:rRNA from 1 species